rnacentral:rRNA from 1 species
ACUCCUACGGGAGGCAGCAGUGAGGAAUAUUGGUCAAUGGAGGGAACUCUGAACCAGCCAUCCCGCGUGUAGGAAGACGGCCUUAUGGGUUGUAAACUACUUUUAUACAGGAAGAAACGUACCCUCGUGAGGGUGCCUGACGGUACUGUAGGAAUAAGCACCGGCUAACUCCGUGCCAGCAGCCGCGGUAAUACGGAGGGUGCGAGCGUUACUCGGAAUCACUGGGCGUAAAGAGCGUGUAGGCGGGUUAUUAAGUCAGAAGUGAAAUCCUAUGGCUCAACCAUAGAACUGCUUUUUGAAACUGGUAACCUAGAGUAUGGGAGAGGUAGAUGGAAUUUCUGGUGUAGGGGUAAAAUCCGUAGAGAUCAGAAGGAAUACCGAUUGCGAAGGCGAUCUACUGGAACAUUACUGACGCUGAGACGCGAAAGCGUGGGGAGCAAACAGGAUUAGAUACCCUGGUAGGCUCUGC